rnacentral:rRNA from 1 species
CGAGACCUCAGGUCAGGCGGGGCUACCCGCUGAGUA